rnacentral:rRNA from 1 species
UACGUAGGGUGCAAGCGUUGCCCGGAUUUAUUGGGCGUAAAGGGCGCGUAGGCGGUCUUGCAAGUCCCGUGUGAAAUCCCUCGGCUCAACUGAGGAAUUGCACGGGAAACUGCUUGGCUUGAGAUCGGGAGAGGGAAGCGGAAUUCCGGGUGUAGCGGUGAAAUGCGUAGAUAUCCGGAGGAACACCGGUGGCGAAGGCGGCUUCCUGGACCGACAUUGACGCUGAGGCGCGAAAGCUAGGGGAGCAAACGGG